CUUCAGCAUAAUCGUUUUCAACAACAUUUCAAUGGAUAUUUAAGAUAUUGUUUAAAAAAAGAAUUACACUUUGUGAUAUGUUUUUGUUUUCAUCUGUCAUGAAAAAGUUCAUUAAAAAAAGAAACGUGAGGACAGUGAAAUUUUCCAUCAUUACAAAGUUAGAUUACAUCAACAGCUUGUCAUCCAUGUUCAGAACUCGACAUUGCAAAACACAUUGAGAAAUACAGAAUGACAGGAUAAGAUUAUUCCAUCUCCAUCCUUAUAAAGAGACGGGUAACUCACGACUGCUCAGCAGAGACGUCCACAUCACCUCUAGAUCUCACAGUGCUCACUUUGCUGUCUGUGACACCAGUUUAUUUUUUGGUUCUGACCAACAAGCUGUGGAAAGGUGAGAAGUCAAUUUAAUCCUGAUGUUAUCUUAAUAAAUGUAACAUUUUUUACGUGAGAUGUGAUGAGCUUUGACGCUGGCGAAUGAAGGCAGUGAAUGAUUCUGGAUGUGGCCACUGUGAUUUGUUCCUCAGGAUGAAGGGUGUUAUGAUCUUUCUGGUGUUGACACUGGUUGUCAUCAUGGCUGAAGCCCAGACAUAUGGUGAUGUUGUCAAUAGUGGGAACACAGGAACAACUGGAGGUGUCCACGUAGGAGGCAAAGAGACACAGCCCCCAUUCAGCAUCACAACUGAACCAUUCGAAUGCAGAUGCACAUGUGGAACAACCCAAGGUGAAGUGGCCAGCUAUAAAUUGAUGCGAUAAUAUGAAGACUGAGUCUGUUCUUGAUUUUGAAGAUAUAGUUUGAGCUAUAUCUUUGUGCUCUGCAAAGCAAGAAAUAAUUGGAUGAGAAAACAUGAAGCUCUUGAGAUGUAGUGAUUUUAGUCACAGCUCCAAUUGAUGUUGAAAAAAGUAAAAUUGCUUGAUAGUGAAAACUAUUCUGCUGAAUAAAGCUGCAUUCCAAAACACCGUCUCUGUGUUGUGGUGUUAUUUAAGUGAACAUGUGCUUGUAAUUUUACUGGUUAUGAUGAUCAAAAACAUUGUUUUUAUUAAGUCAGAGGUAAUGAUUUAUAUUAAAUAGAUCUAAAUAAUGAGGGUGUUGG
rnacentral:lncRNA from 1 species